AUUGAACGCUGGCGGCAGGCCUAACACAUGCAAGUCGAGCGGAUGAAGGGAGCUUGCUCCUGGAUUCAGCGGCGGACGGGUGAGUAAUGCCUAGGAAUCUGCCUGGUAGUGGGGGAUAACGUCCGGAAACGGGCGCUAAUACCGCAUACGUCCUGAGGGAGAAAGUGGGGGAUCUUCGGACCUCACGCUAUCAGAUGAGCCUAGGUCGGAUUAGCUAGUUGGUGGGGUAAAGGCCUACCAAGGCGACGAUCCGUAACUGGUCUGAGAGGAUGAUCAGUCACACUGGAACUGAGACACGGUCCAGAGUCCUACGGGAGGCAGCAGUGGGGAAUAUUGGACGAUGGGCGAAAGACUGAUCCAGCCAUGCCGCGUGUGUGCAGAAGGUCUUCGGAUUGUAAAGCACUUUAAGUUGGGAGGAAGGGCAGUAAGUUAAUACCUUGCUGUUUUGACGUUACCAACAGAAUAAGCACCGGCUAACUUCGUG
rnacentral:rRNA from 1 species